GUGUCAGCAGCCGCGGUAAUACGGAGUGGGCUAGCGUUGUUCGGAAUUACUGGGCGUAAAGGGCGCGUAGGCGGGCGCAUAAGUCGGGGGUGAAAUCCCGGGGCUCAACCCCGGAACUGCCUCCGAUACUGUGUGCCUUGAGGACGGGAGAGGUGAGUGGAAUUCCGAGUGUAGAGGUGAAAUUCGUAGAUAUUCGGAGGAACACCGGUGGCGAAGGCGGCUCACUGGCCCGAUCCUGACGCUGAGGCGCGAAAGCGUGGGGAGCAAACAGGAUUAGAUACCCUGGCAGUCCACGCCCUAAACGAGGAGUGCCAGUUGUUGGCGGGCAUGCCCGUCAGUGACGCAGCUAACGCUUUGAGCACUCCGCCUGGGGAGUACGGCCGCAAGGUUAAAACUUAAAGGAAUUGACGGGG
rnacentral:rRNA from 1 species